UACAGAGGUCCCAAGCGUUGUUCGGAUUCACUGGGCGUAAAGGGUGCGUAGGUGGUCGGGUAAGUCUGAUGUGAAAUCUCCGAGCCUAACUCGGAGACUGCAUCGGAUACUAUUCGGCUUGAGGGUUGGAGGGGGGACUGGAAUACUUGGUGUAGCAGUGAAAUGCGUAGAUAUCAAGUGGAACACCAGUGGCGAAGGCGAGUCCCUGGACAACUCCUGACACUGAGGCACGAAAGCUAGGGGAGCAAACAGG
rnacentral:rRNA from 1 species